rnacentral:rRNA from 1 species
CCGGCACGGGUGAGUAACGCGUAUGCAACUUGCCUAUCAGGAGGGGAUAACCCGGCGAAAGUCGGACUAAUACCGCAUGAAGCAGGGGCCCCGCAUGGGGAUAUUUGCUAAAGAUUCAUCGCUGAUAGAUAGGCAUGCGUUCCAUUAGGCAGUUGGCGGGGUAACGGCCCACCAAACCGACGAUGGAUAGGGGUUCUGAGAGGAAGGUCCCCCACACUGGUACUGAGACACGGACCAA